rnacentral:rRNA from 1 species
UAGGGAAUCUUCGGCAAUGGGGGGAACCCUGACCGAGCAACGCCGCGUGAGUGAAGAAGGUUUUCGGAUCGUAAAGCUCUGUUGUUAAGGAAGAACGAGUGUGAGAAUGGAAAGUUCAUGCUGUGACGGUACUUAACCAGAAAGGGACGGCUAACUACGUGCCAGCAGCCGCGGUAAUACGUAGGUCCCGAGCGUUGUCCGGAUUUAUUGGGCGUAAAGCGAGCGCAGGCGGUUAGAAAAGUCUGAAGUGAAAGGCAGUGGCUCAACCAUUGUAGGCUUUGGAAACUGUUUAACUUGAGUGCAGAAGGGGAGAGUGGAAUUCCAUGUGUAGCGGAGAAAUGCGUAGAUAUAUGGAGGAACACCGGUGGCGAAAGCGGCUCUCUGGUCUGUAACUGACGCUGAGGCUCGAAAGCGUAGGGAGCGAACAGG